CGUACUUUUUGUAGAACGGGCCAACGAGUUACGUUAAGUAGCAAGGUUAAGCACUUAAGGUGUGGAGCCGUAGCGAAAGCGAGUUUUAACUGAGCGUUCAGUUACUUGACGUAGACCCGAAACCGGGCGACCUACCCAUGAGCAGGAUGAAGCGAAAGUAAAAUUUCGUGGAGGUCCGAACCCACGAGCGUUGAAAAGCUCGGGGAUGACUUGUGGGUAGCGGUGAAAUUCCAAUCGAGCCCGGAGAUAGCUGGUUCUCCCCGAAAUAGCUUUAGGGCUAGCCUCAAGGUGAGAGAUACGGAGGUAGAGCACUGAAUGUCCUAGGGGGUAUUGCACCUACCGAAGACUAUCAAACUCCGAAUGCCGUCAUCUUAUACUUGGGAGUCAGACUGUGGGUGAUAAGAUUCAUAGUCGAAAGGGCAACAGCCCAGAUCGUCAGCUAAGGUCCCUAAAUGUAAGUUAAGUGGUAAAGGAUGUGGGAUUGCACAGACAACCAGGAUGUUGGCUUAGAAGCAGCCACUCAUUCAAAGAGUGCGUAAUAGCUCACUGGUCGAGUGAUCCUGCGCCGAAGAUUUCCGGGGCUAAAACUUACUACCGAAGCUACGGCAUCAGUAAUGAUGGGUAGGGGAGCUUCCCAUACGGGUUGAAGCAUGACCGUAAGGACAUGUGGACAGUAUGGGAGUGAGAAUGUUGGCAUGAGUAGCGAGAUGUGGGUGAGAAUCCCACAGGCCGUAAACCCAAGGUUUCCAGGGGAAGGUUCGUCCGCCCUGGGUUAGUCGGGACCUAAGCUGAGGCCGAAAGGCGUAGGUGAUGGACAACAGGUUGAUAUUCCUGUACUACCGAUAACCGUUUGAGAGAAGGGAUGACACAGUAGGAUAAGCUAAGCACACUGUUGGUUAUGUGUGCCCAAGCAUUGAGGCAGUCAAAGUAGGCAAAUCCGCUUUGAUAAUGCUGGGAUGUGAUGGGGAGCGAAAUUUAGUAGCGAAGUAGCUGAUUUCACACUGUCAAGAAAAGUCUCUAUCGAGGUUAAAGGUACCCGUACCGCAAACCGACACAGGUGGGUGAGGAGAGUAUCCUAAGGCCAGCGAGAGAACUGUUGUUAAGGAACUCGGCAAAAUGACCCCGUAACUUAGGGAUAAGGGGUGCCACCAUCAGGUGGCCGCAGAGAAUAGGCCCAAGCGACUGUUUACCAAAAACAUAGGUUUCUGCUAAGUCGCAAGACGAUGUAUAGGAGCUGACGCCUGCCCGGUGCUGGAAGGUUAAGGGGAUCUGUUAGAGCAAUCGAAGCAGUGAACUUAAGCCCCAGUAAACGGCGGCCGUAACUAUAACGGUCCUAAGGUAGCGAAAUUCCUUGUCGGGUAAGUUCCGACCCGCACGAAAGGCGUAACGAUUUGGGCACUGUCUCAACAACAGACUCGGUGAAAUUGUAAUUCCGGUGAAGAUGCCGGAUACCUGCGACAGGACGGAAAGACCCCAUGGAGCUUUACUGUAGCUUGACAUUGGGUCUUGGUACUACAUGUACAGGAUAGGUGGGAGGCUUUGAAACCAGGACGCCAGUUUUGGCGGAGCCAUCCUUGGGAUACCACCCUUGUAGUACUGGGACUCUAACCAUAGGCCAUGAAUCUGGUCUUGGGACACUGUCAGGUGGGCAGUUUGACUGGGGCGGUCGCCUCCCAAAAGGUAACGGAGGCGCUCAAAGGUUCUCUCAGUACGGUCGGAAAUCGUACGUAGAGUGUAAAGGCAAAAGAGAGCUUGAUUGCAAGACAUACAGGUCGAGCAAGGAUGAAAAUCGGACUUAGUGAUCCGGUGGUUCUGCGUGGAAGGGCCAUCGCUCAACGGAUAAAAGCUACCCUGGGGAUAACAGGCUUAUCUCCCCCAAGAGUCCACAUCGACGGGGAGGUUUGGCACCUCGAUGUCGGCUCAUCACAUCCUGGGGCUGUAGUAGGUCCCAAGGGUUGGGCUGUUCGCCCAUUAAAGUGGUACGCGAGCUGGGUUCAGAACGUCGUGAGACAGUUCGGUCCCUAUCCGUCGCAGGCGUAGGAAAUUUGAGAAGACCUGUCCUUAGUACGAGAGGACCGGGAUGGACGUACCUCUGGUGUACCAGUUGUCCUGCCAAGGGCAUGGCUGGGUAGCUAUGUACGGAAUGGAUAAGCGCUGAAAGCAUCUAAGCGCGAAGCCAACUUCAAGAUAAGAUUUCCCACCGCAAGGGUAAGACCCCAGAAAGACUAUCUGGUUGAUAGGUCGAAGGUGUAAGUGCAGCAAUGUAUUUAGCUUAUCGAUACUAAUAGGUCGAGGACUUGACCAA
rnacentral:rRNA from 1 species